AGAGUUUGAUCCUGGCUCAGAUUGAACGCUGGCGGCAGGCCUAACACAUGCAAGUCGAGCGGUAGAGAGAAGCUUGCUUCUCUUGAGAGCGGCGGACGGGUGAGUAAUGCCUAGGAAUCUGCCUGGUAGUGGGGGAUAACGUUCGGAAACGGACGCUAAUACCGCAUACGUCCUACGGGAGAAAGCAGGGGACCUUCGGGCCUUGCGCUAUCAGAUGAGCCUAGGUCGGAUUAGCUAGUUGGUGGGGUAAUGGCUCACCAAGGCGACGAUCCGUAACUGGUCUGAGAGGAUGAUCAGUCACACUGGAACUGAGACACGGUCCAGACUCCUACGGGAGGCAGCAGUGGGGAAUAUUGGACAAUGGGCGAAAGCCUGAUCCAGCCAUGCCGCGUGUGUGAAGAAGGUCUUCGGAUUGUAAAGCACUUUAAGUUGGGAGGAAGGGCCAUUACCUAAUACGUGAUGGUUUUGACGUUACCGACAGAAUAAGCACCGGCUAACUCUGUGCCAGCAGCCGCGGUAAUAC
rnacentral:rRNA from 1 species